GACUCUGUAGGGGUGCAUUGUUUGGCCUGUAUAGCUCCACCCUAGGCCUGCUCCUGCCUCAGCUGCCUGCUGCUGGGAGGGAAUGCAGCCCAUACUGUCACAGUCAGGGACAGGUAGGCUGCUGCCUGGGUAUGAAAAGAGUGAGUAUGCUCCAGUCACUGCUAUGGCAGAGGGAGAUAGUGUCACCGACUCCUUACUUGAUGACUUACUCAUAAUUAUACGUCAAUCUGUUUCCCAUCUCCAAGAGAAUUUGAGCAAGGAACUUGUAUGUGGAAUUAAAGAAAUAAAAUCCACAGUGUUGGGUGUUGAAGGAGAAGAAGUCUCCAGAAGCCCUGAUUUGUCAAGAGUCAGACACUGACGCAGGCCCAAGGCUUGAGAAGGACACAGCUCCAUUCUGGCUCUGCCAGGCUUGCAGUUCACAGCAAUUCCCCUUCCUCGGUUUCAGAGUGCUGGGAUUGCAGAAUGAGGCAUUGGACAGGACACAGCCUCAGCACUCAUUCUCUAGUUCUGGGAAAGAACUUUCUGAAUCAUGUCAGGGCUGCAUCUUCCUUGGCUUGUACAUCCUGGUGAAUGCUUCUCACAUCUGUGGCCAAGCAUUAAGAGCUUGUUUUGUGGGUUGGAGAGAUGACUGAGCACUGAAGAGCACUUUCUCCUCUUCCACAGGACCUGGGUUCAAUUCUAAGCACCCACAUGGCAGCUCACAGCUGUCUGUAACUUCGGUUCCAGGGGAUCUGAUGCCCUCACACAGACAUACAAGCAGGCAAAACACCAAUGUACAUAAAAUAAAGAUAAAUAAAUCAUUGAAAUUUUUAAUUUAAAAAAUAAAGAACUAGUUUGUUGUUUCAUG